UACGGGGGGGGCAAGCGUUGUUCGGAAUUACUGGGCGUAAAGGGCUCGUAGGCGGCCAACUAAGUCGGAUGUGAAAUCCCCAGGCUCAACUUGGGAACUGCAUCCGAUACUGGAUGGCUUGAAUUCGGGAGAGGGAUGCAGAAUUCCAGGUGUAGCGGUGAAAUGCGUAGAUAUCUGGAGGAAUACCGGUGGCGAAGGCGGCAUCCUGGACCGACAUUGACGCUGAGUGAGCGAAAGCCAGGGGAGCAAACGGG
rnacentral:rRNA from 1 species